rnacentral:rRNA from 1 species
ACGAAGGGGGCUAGCGUUGCUCGGAAUCACUGGGCGUAAAGCGCACGUAGGCGGGUUGCCAAGUCGGAGGUGAAAUCCUGGAGCUCAACUCCAGAACUGCCUUCGAUACUGGCGAUCUUGGAGUCCGGGAGAGGUGAGUGGAACUGCGAGUGUAGAGGUGAAAUUCGUAGAUAUUCGCAAGAACACCAGUGGCGAAGGCGGCUCACUGGCCCGGUACUGACGCUGAGGUGCGAAAGCGUGGGGAGCAAACAGGA